rnacentral:piRNA from 1 species
UAUCCUGGGAGAACUUCGAUGCC